rnacentral:rRNA from 1 species
AAAACGACUCUCGGCAACGGAUAUCUCGGCUCUUGCAUCGAUGAAGAACGUAGCGAAAUGCGAUACUUGGUGUGAAUUGCAGAAUCCCGUGAACCAUCGAGUCUUUGAACGCAAGUUGCGCCCAAAGCCUUCUGGCCGAGGGCACGCCUGCCUGGGUGUCAUGC